ACUCCUACGGGAGGCAGCAGUGGGGAAUAUUGGACAAUGGGGGCAACCCUGAUCCAGCAAUGCCGCGUGAGUGAUGAAGGCCUUAGGGUUGUAAAGCUCUUUCGCCCGCGACGAUGAUGACGGUAGCGGGAGAAGAAGCCCCGGCUAACUUCGUGCCAGCAGCCGCGGUAAUACGAAGGGGGCGAGCGUUGUUCGGAAUUACUGGGCGUAAAGCGUGCGCAGGCGGUUUGCUAAGACAGGUGUGAAAUCCCCGGGCUUAACCUGGGAACUGCGCUUGUAACUGGCAAGCUGGAGUGUGGCAGAGGGGGGUGGAAUUCCACGUGUAGCAGUGAAAUGCGUAGAGAUGUGGAGGAACACCGAUGGCGAAGGCAGCCCCCUGGGCUAACACUGACGCUCAUGCACGAAAGCGUGGGGAGCAAACAGGAUUAGAUACCCUGGUAGUCCACGCCCUAAACUAUGUCAACUGGUUGUCGGGGAAGCAAUUCCUUGGUAACGAAGCUAACGCGUGAAGUUGACCGCCUGGGGAGUACGGCCGCAAGGUUAAAACUUAAAGGAAUUGACG
rnacentral:rRNA from 1 species